AUCUGUGUUCAAUAUUAUUAUAUGUUAUUUUAAUUAUUAUUGUUGUUGCAAAAUUCCUUAACCCCCGCUUGCAAUGGGGGUUGACUAAUAUAAAUCGCCUUGUAACGUUAUACAAAUAUGACUUAAAUCCAGGUAGUUAAAGACUAGACUCCGACAUGCUUUGUACUGUAAACUUUAUUUAUAAAGCUCGAUCAACAAUGACGUUAAAUAUCGUAUACAUACAUAUCAACGAUCUUAUAAACCUACAAUCGAAUUUUUCGUAUUUAUUCCAAAGUAUGUGAUAAAUACCGCCACCCCCUUGAGACAUGAAGUUUUUACAGUACAAGGCGGCUGCCCCUUUCUUAAAAGCGAAACGCAUUACUGCUUUACGGCAGAAACAGGACGUCUUGAGAGCCCGCACAGAUAGUAAGCACCAUCACCCUACCUACUUCUGCAGCAUUUAGGUUGUAGAUAUUUAUGGGUUCCGAUAACCACUUAACACCAGGUGGACCGCGAGCUCGUCCAAGCAUCUAAAAAAUAUACUUGGUCUAGCCAUAAAUAUUGUUACAAUUUAAAUAAAUAAAAUAUUACAUUUGAAUUUGGAGUCUGUCAUUUUUAUAUGAUUGCUCAUUGAGUUUUCUCAUUUUAGCGCCAAUACAUCGUACAAUAUUUUGCGAUAUUAAAAUGGAGUGGGGUGAUAAAGAGAACCGAAUCGCUGUGAUUGCAUUACACAAAGUAGAAAAAGAUCUGGCCGUCCACGUAGUGUUCGUACGAAAAAGGUGGUCAAAGCAGUAAGGGAAAGAAUUCGAAGAAAUCCUGCGCGAAAGCAAAAGAUUUUAUCUCGGGAGAUGAAGAUAGCACCUAGAACCAUGUCGCGUAUUUUAAAAGAUGACUUAGGACUUGCAGCCUAUAAGAGACGUACUGGUCAUUUCUUAACUGAUAAUUUAAAAGAGAAUAGAGUGGUAAAAUCGAAACAACUACUGAAGCGGUACGCAAAGGGAGGUCAUAGAAAAAUUUAGUUUACGAAUGAGACAUUAUUUACAAUUGAGCAACAUUUUAACAAACAAAAUGACCGUAUUUAUGCUCAAAGCUCUAAGGAAGCUUCCCAAUUAGUCGACAGAGUGUAACGUGGGCACUAUCCGACUUCGGUGAUGGUUUGGUGGAGUAUCAGCUAUGAAGGAGUGACUGAGCCAUAGUUUUGUGAAAAAGGUAUCAAAACAUCGGCACAAGUAUAUCAAGAUACCAUUCUUGAGAAGGUAGUGAAGCCUCUUAACAACACCAUGUUCAAUAAUCAAGAAUGGUCCUUCCAGCAAGACUCGGCGCCAGGUCAUAAAGCUCGGUCUACGCAGUCUUGGUUGGAAACGAACGUUUCGGACUUCAUCAGAGCUGAAGACUGGCCGUCGUCUAGUCCCGAUCUUAAUCCGCUGGAUUAUGAUUUAUGGUCAGCUUUAGAGCUUGCUCUUACCACCAUUAUAAUUUGGAGUCCCUAAAACAAUCCGUAUGAUUGGCAGUGAAAAUUUUUCCCAUGGAAAGAGUGCGUGUUUCUAUUGAUAACUGGCCUCAACGUUUAAAGGACUGUAUUGCAGCCAAUGGAGACCUCUUCGAAUAAGCUUUUUAUACUUUAAAUUGUUUUAUAUUUAUGUAUUAAACUAACACACUGUAAAAGUAAUAAAUGUUAUUUGCCAUAGA